rnacentral:misc_RNA from 1 species
UCUCCGUUGGUGAACCAGCGGAGGGAUCAUUACUGAGUUCCAGCAACUCCCAACCCUUUCGAAACGUACCCCCUUCUGUUUUCGUUGGUUCCGGCAGGCGGGGGGGGCCACCUGGCCCCUCCCGCUGCCGGGGGGGGCGGGCCCACUCAACCUUUAUAUAUCGACCACCGAAACCCGACAGAGCCAAACAAAACAUAACCAAAAACUACAACACCGGUUCCCUUGGCUCUGGCAUCGAUGAAGAAAGCACCGGAGCGGAAGCGAAUAAGUUCGAACCCC